ACGGGGUGCAGCAGGCGCGAAAACUCCGCAAUACGCGAAGGCGUGACGGGGCUAUCCCGAGUGCCGUCCGCUGAGGAUGGCUUUUCCCCAGUGUAGAUAGCUGGGGGAAUAGGGAGAGGGCAAGUCUGGUGUCAGCCGCCGCGGUAAUACCAGCUCUCCGAGUGGUGGGGACGUUUAUUGGGCCCGAAGCGUCCGUAGCCAGCUGAGCAAGUCCCCAGUUAAAUCCAGCGAUUUAAUCGUUGGACUGCUGGGGAUACUGUCCGGCUAGGGGGUGGGAGAGGCCGACGGUAUUCCCGGGGUAGGGGUGAAAUCCUAUAAUCCCGGGAGGACCACCAGUGGCGAAGGCUGUUGGCUAGAACAUGCCCGACGGUGAGGGAUGAAAGCUGGGGGAGCGAACCGGAUUAGAUACCCGGGUAGUCCCAGCUGUAAACGAUGCAGGCUAGGUGUUAGGGCGGCCACGUGCCGCUCUAGUGCCGCAGGGAAGCUGUUAAGCCUGCCGCCUGGGGAGUACGGCCGCAAGGCUGAAACUUAAAGGAAUUGGCGGGGGAGCAC
rnacentral:rRNA from 1 species